rnacentral:lncRNA from 1 species
GGAAGAGGCAUUUAAGUUCAGUUUUUUCUUUUAAUAUCAAAAAUUACACAGGGAAGAGCUCAAAGCGAAGGUCUUGUAGGUUCGCAGCAGGAUUCCCAGAAACCUUUGGAUAACAGUGUGAAAUGAAGAGCUGAAGCAGUAGAGACCUCAUCACAAAGGGACUUCCCUUUUGUUUGCAGUAAACUCUGGUAUUGUGCCAUCACCAGGUACUAGAGGGCACCUCAAAAACCACUGCACCAGGACUCAGAGGAUGAGUUUUCCUUGAGGAACCUAAGCUCCCACAGGUCACUUGAGAUGUGGAAGAUGUCCACGACUGCUGAUCCUUUUGGGGACACUUUGAUGUUUUCUGCCACAGUGCAAGAUACCUGGGUUUGAUUCUUAGGCCAAGGACAAUAAACAUAAAUAUGGUACAGUUACCA